rnacentral:tRNA from 1 species
CAGACGUUGGCUGGGUUACUGGCCAUAGCUAUUUACUGUAUGGCCCACUGGCCUGUGGUGCUAUUACCUUAAUGUUUGA